rnacentral:tRNA from 1 species
GCCUGGGUGGCUCAGUCGGUUGAGUGUCUGACUUCGGCUCAGGUCAUGAUCUCGCUGUUUGUGAGUUCGAGCCCCGCGUCGGGCU